CUCGUAGACAACGUAUAUGAUUGGAACCAAUCUGCUAAUGCCUUAAUCUUUUCCCCUUGGUUAGCAGAGUGCAAUAUAGGCUGUAUAGCACCAACAAGCAUACCUCCUGUUGGAAAACAAAUUGUUUUACCUAUGCAAUGCUUAGUGAAUAUUCCCCUAGACAUACAGAGUUAUAUAUUUUAUAUUACAGGGUGUCAGUCUCAUGUCCUGCUUUCUACUUCUG